rnacentral:misc_RNA from 1 species
CUGAACAGGUUUGUACAGCACAACAGUGACAUAUUUUGAACAGAAGCGAUGAGUAAAACCAAGAGCCACCACAGAACGUGGGGCCUCUCGAUUCUCAAUGUAAAGAUGGUUGAGAAUUACACUCUGCGGUGCAGGAAUAGUUUCAGAAGUGUCUGCACUCCCUGGGUAGCUAAGCAAGGUAUGUUGCAGGUGCGAAGGGACUAUAGGCGGGGCACG